ACCAAACAGACUCCUCAAUGGGGAAGGGUGCUGUGGUUCUGUCUCCAGACAUAGACCAGCAAGAAUCAGAGUUGGGAUGUGCUUAAACAGGAAGGAGAUGGGAGGGGGUCAUGGUGAGGAAGAAAAUGAAGUCUAAAUUGUGUUCAGGGUUUCUGGGACAGAGGAAGAGAUGCAAGAAUG